GUCAACUACCCCGCCCUGAAGGGCGGAGCGUGUGAAGAGCCAGGUUGACCAGGGAAAGCGGUACCCAACCCGCUCCGUUUACAACACGUCGUUAAGACCCACCGGCGAAUGCUUCCUCAGUUCGCCGCUCUGGAAGGUCGGGAUCAUGCUGGCGAAAGGCAAAGCGCCGAAGGUUCUGAUCGCUGCUGCGAGGCAGGAGCGGGUUGUAGACAUUCCCGAGGGGAGCGAGCC
rfam:Thiorhodococcus drewsii AZ1 ctg196, whole genome shotgun sequence.